rnacentral:rRNA from 1 species
GUAGUCUCGCACAGAUGCAUAUCAAUAAGCGGAGGAAAAGAAACUAACAAGGAUUCCCCUAGUAACGGCGAGUGAAGCGGGAAGAGCUCAAAUUUGAAAUCUUAAAGGGUUUCCCUUUACGAAUUGUAGUUUAAAAGAAGUGUUUUCUGUUGAGGUUUUGGUAAAAGUUCUUUGGAAUAGGACAUCAUAGAGGGUGAGAAUCCCGUAUUUGACCUUUACUUUCAACUUUGUGAUACACUUUCAAAGAGUCGGAUUGUUUGGGAAUGCAGUCCAAAAUGGGUGGUAAAUUUCAUCUAAAGCUAAAUAUUGGCGAGAGACCGAUAGCGAACAAGUACCGUGAGGGAAAGAUGAAAAGAACUUUGAAAAGAGAGUUAAACAGUACGUGAAAUUGUCAAAAGGGAAGCGUUUGACACCAGUGUUGUUUUUCUGAAAAUCAAUUAAAGAACUGUUUAUGCUAAGCUGUUUAGACUUUAUCAGCUAACUGUUUAGUUUUGAGCUUUUCUUUAAUGCACUUUUCAGUUAACAAGUCAACAUCAAUUUCUUUUGCUGUAAAAAAGCUUGAGGAAGGUGGCUUGAGAUUCGUCUUAAGUGUUUAUAGCCUCUUGCCUAUGCAGUCGGAGAGAUUGAGGUCUGCAGCGUAGAUCCUUCGGGGCUAAAUGCAUUUGUGCUAAGUUAUAGCAUUUUAUAGACAACUUGUUGACUAUGAUUUGUCUUGUAGCUUACUCGCUUAUGUUAUUUUACCUACGCUUAGGAUGUUGAAGACUCUACAGAGAUA